CAAAAGCUCAAAUGCCCCUCACUCUCGCGAAUAUCACUAGUUCUGUCUUUUGUUUCCCAAACCCCAUUUCAUGAAAAUGGAGAAAUCCUUCACUCUGGUUCAGACAGUUGUCACUGCAACAGUCUUCUCUGCGGUUUCCGGCUGGUACGGGUUCAUGUUCGGGAGGGAAUCUGCUCGGAAAGAGCUCGGCAGCUUGAUCGACGAUCUUCGCCGUCAAAAUCCCAACUCCGAUCCACCACCACCACCUCAUGCUUGAAUUCACUGGGUGCUUGGGUCAAGGUUGAUGGCAUCAAGUGGGCAGUGAGGAAGUCACUUUGAUCCUUAAAGCUUGGAACUGAGAAAAGCAAUGUCUGACGUCUUCAUUAAAUGCACUCCAUUGCACCAUAUUUGGCGGUGUUUUCCAUUCUUCUGACAUUAUCCUUGAGGGCGGAAUGUGCUGUCCUGUAUAGUUCAGAUGAUACUUCGAAACCUUUUGUAUGCUGACUGACUUCUAAGAUACAGUGUUUUCUUUAGUUUCCUGAAAAGCUAAAAUCAUCUUACAGCAUCUCGGAAGAGAAAUCGGCUAACCCAUACUGGUGUGGUGUCCCUGCAAACUUAGUGGCUAAGUGGUUGGGAUGCUUACCACAAUAACGUUGCCCAAGUAAUCUCUGAAUCUGUCAUGGAAGCUUCUCAUGUAGUCGGUGUAAACCUGGAUCGGUGUUCGUCCUCCGAGAACAGGCAAUGAAUCACAUCCCAAGGAUAUGUACUCAGGAUUCCUCCUGCCUGAUUUGUCUGUGUAAACAAGGUCAGGGUUCAUGCUGACUUCUUCUAGCACCCAUGGAGGUAGAGGAAUGCUGAAAAUUCAUAAAAAUGAUGGUUUAGUAAAAUGAAGGCAUAAAUCCACACCAGCUGGAGAUAGAUUAACUGUUGCAGAAACAUAAGUAUGUACAGAGUUUCUUGAGUCCUAAGUAAUUAAUGACUUAGAGAGAGUCUAAUUCCAAAACACUAUGCAGGUUAUAGACUAUUAGUUAGGGAUGUUUUGGAGUGCAUUAGUAGGAAGCACCUUUGCUCAUAAACACUUUUAUGAGAAGCGCAAAAAGUACUUCAGGAAUAUCAGAAGAAAAAAAACACUAAAAAGUGCUUUUCUAAA